rnacentral:misc_RNA from 1 species
UUUCCGUAGGUGAACCUGCGGAAGGAUCAUUAAAGAGUAAGGGUCUUCGGGCCCGAUCUCCAACCCUUUGUUUAACUACCAUGUUGCUUUGGCGGGCCCGUCUCACGACCGCCGGAAGUUUGGCUUCGACCAAACUUCUGGCCCGUGCCCGUCAGUGGCCCCUUCAAAUUCUUGAUCAAGUAUGAUGUCUUAGUUAAAAACUUAAUAGUUAAAACUUACAACAACGGAUCUCUUGGUUCUG